AUUGAACGCUAGCGGCAGGCCUAACACAUGCCAGUCGAGCGAGCGGCGGACGGGUGAGUAAUGUAUGGGGACUGCCCGAUAGAGGGGGAUAACUACUGGAAACGGUAGCUAAUACCGCAUACUAUCGGAUAACCAAAAUUGGAUUGGCUAGUAGGUGAGGUAAUGGAUCACCUAGGCGACGAUCCCUAGCUGGUCUGAGAGGAUGCGCAGCCACAAUGGUACUGAGACACGGUCCAGACGUCUACGGAGGCACCAGGGGGGAAUAUUGCACAAUGGGCGCAAGGCUGAUGCAGCCAUGCCGGGUGGAUUAAGAAGGCCCUAGGGUUGUAAAGUACUUUCAGUCGGGAGGCGUUACCGACAGAAGAAGCACCGGCGAACUACGUGCCAGCAGCCGCGGUAAUUC
rnacentral:rRNA from 1 species